rnacentral:rRNA from 1 species
UACGAAGGGGGCUAGCGUUGCUCGGAAUCACUGGGCGUAAAGCGUGCGCAGGCGGUUUGCUAAGACAGGUGUGAAAUCCCCGAGCUUAACUUGGGAACUGCGCUUGUAACUGGCAAGCUAGAGUGUGGCAGAGGGGGUGGAAUUCCACGGUGGUAGCAGUGAAAUGCGUAGAGAUGUGGAGGAACACCGAUGGCGAAGGCAGCCCCCUGGGCUAACACUGACGCUCAUGCACGAAAGCGUGGG